rnacentral:lncRNA from 1 species
ACAUCUUCACUUAAAUUUCCAGGAUCGUUACAGUUGGUAUCAGAGCCACGUUCCUCGGACUCAUCCCUUACACAAUAAUGCUUAGAGAAAUACCCACCGAUAAAUCGUUACUCAACUCUUCUGUGUGAAAUGCAGGUGCAACGAAAUGAAGAGAGGAAGACCCCCACUAAACCGAGCAGCCCAGGAUGAUUCGCUUCGGGAAGAUGUGGACAGAAUAUUUGAGAUGCUGGAAAGGAUCAUGGCCGCCCAGCAAGGUCGAGAGGAGAGAAGGGAGUUACCCGAACCUCCCCCACUACCACG